rnacentral:rRNA from 1 species
AAACUUUCAACAACGGAUCUCUUGGUUCUAGCAUCGAUGAAGAACGCAGCGAAAUGCGAUAAGUAGUAUGAAUUGCAGAAUUCAGUGAAUCAUCGAAUUUUUGAACGCACAUUGCACCUCUUGGUAUUGCAUGAGGUAUGCCUGUUCGAGCGUUAUUA